rnacentral:rRNA from 1 species
GACGCACGCUGGCGGCGUGCUUAACACAUGCAAGUCGAACGAAGUGGCGAACGGGUGCGUAACGCGUAAUCAACCUGCCCUUCAGAGGGGGCCAACAGUUGGAAACGACUGCUACUACCGCAUACUGAAGUAGGGGAUUGCGUCUGAUUGGCUAGUUGGAGGGGUAACGGCCCACCAAGGCGAUGAUCAUUAGCCGGUCUGAGAGGAUGAAUGGCCAAAUUGGGACUGAGACACGGCCAAGACUCCUAAGGGAGGCAGAAGGGGGGAAUCUUCCGCAAUGGACGAAAGUCUGACGGAGCAACGCGGCGGGAGUGAUGACGGCCUUCGGGUUGUAAGGCUCUGUUAAUCGGGACGCGGUACCGGAAUAGAAAGCCACGGCUAACUACGUGCCAGCAGCCGCGGUAAUAC